GUUAUAGAAAUUCGUAGUAUGUAUUUUGACUUAAAUUGCCAGUAUUCUUUUAUUUGAUAUCAUAUGCAAAUCGUUGAAUAUGUUUGAGACUUGAAAAUGAAAUUGGUAGUGGUAAGCAAAUUGAAAUUCAGUAAUUUAUUCAUUUUACAGUCGAUGUUUUGUAUGAGACUUCGAGAUGGAAAGACAAAUGGUUGAUAACCAUUGAUGUGUUAGAAAUUGUGUACUUUGAUUUGCCUUCUAGCUACUUUUGUUGUUUGUCAGCUACUCUUAAUCAUCUCGCUAGGACAAGGAUGUGGAGUCCAUGAGCUGAGUUUGAUUUGGUUUCAUUUUUAGUUUGUUUUUUGAAACUUCUGUAAAUUAAUUGUUGGACACGGGUCACCAUUUCUGGAUUAUAAGAGGUUCUACGUACCAAUUAAAUUACUUCAAAAGCAAACUAAUCGAACUUGAACUUCUAUUAUUGCAUCAAGAGGUGCCCCCUGUAAUUCAGAAAAUUAAUACUUUGCACAAACAAAUAUUGCUAUUUUCAAUCUUCAGCGUUGCCAUCAUCACUUGACAGUUGACAAUAGCAUCCACAACACAUCAGAUUCUACUGCUUCUUGCACUUAAACCAUAGAUCUUAUUAUUGCACUAGUAUUUGAAUUACAGUGACUUGCUUGAAAUCACACUUUGCAUAACAUAACAUUGUUUCCUCCAUUUAUUAGUUUUGCUAUCAUCAAUCAGCCUUCAAACACACCCUGAUGAUGAGGUUUUUCAAACAGCUGCAGAAACUCCAUCAAUUGAUGAUAGCACGACACAACCAUACCACUCUGAAUUCAUCAGCUUCUUCCACAUGAACUAGUAACUACAACCUGGAAAGCUGUGAGUUAAUUGGGAAGUAGGAAACAGGGAUUGGAGCUCGAGAUGACUUGGGUUUGCUUUUUGGUUUCCCAGAGGAUGCUGCUUUCUUGCUGUGACCACCAGCAUCAUCGGAUACCCUUGACGACGACGGCACGAAGCAACUGAAAAACGCUGGGAAGAGAACCAUUGUUUGUAUCAACUAAAUGGUUGCUGGACUAUUAGAGGCUGGGCAGAGGAGAAUGAAUUGCUAACAACUGAUCAACAUGUUACCAUUUCUGAUUGAACUUGAACUAUUCAGAAGCAAACUGAUUGAACUUGAACUUCGAUUAUUGCAUCAGGUUUUUCAACCAGCUGCAGGAACUCCAUCAAUUGAUGAUAGCACGACACAACCAUACGCCACUCCUGAAUCAUCAUGAACAGCUAACUACAACCGGGAAAGAUGUGUGUUAACUGGGAAGUUGGAAACUGGGAUUGGAGGAGUUUGAGAUGACUUGGAUUUGCUUUCUUGUUUCCCAGAGGAUGCCCCUUUCUUGCUGUGACCGCCAGCCUCGUCGGAUAUCCGUGACGACGACGGGACAAAGCAACUGAAGAACACUGAGAAAGUAACCAUUGUUUGUAUCAACUAAACGGCUGCUGAACUAUCAAAGAGGUUGGGCAGAAGAGAAUGAAUUGCUAACAUGUGAGUUGAGCUGACCAAAAUGCUACUUUAUUUAUAGUGACAUUGUUUGGACUCGGAUUCUUGCAGAGCACGUCUCAGUUUCAGUUGUGAAUUCAUUAGAUUAUUAAUGGUUUGCUGUCAUAUAGUUUUUUUAUUUAUUUUUAUUUUAUUUUUUUUAUAUUUUUUUUUAAGUACAAAAAUGGUGACGCCAGCAAUGAUGUAGUGUUGCAGAGUCACAUGAUUUUAUUUAUUUUUAAAUCAUAUUCUGAUUUUAUUUAUUUUUAAAUCAUAUUCUGAUUUUUUUUUUUUUUUUU